GACGAGGGGUCCUAGCGUUGUUCGGAAUCACUGGGCGUAAAGCGCGUGUAGGCGGCUUUGCAAGUCGGGUGUGAAAGCCCUCAGCUCAACUGAGGAAGUGCGCCCGAAACUGCAGAGCUUGAGUGCCGGAGAGGGUGGCGGAAUUCCCCAAGUAGAGGUGAAAUUCGUAGAUAUGGGGAGGAACACCGGUGGCGAAGGCGGCCAGCCUGGACGG
rnacentral:rRNA from 1 species